UGAAAAUAUAGCAUACGUUACUUAUAAUGUAUGCUUGCGAGUUUUCAUGAUCCCUAAAUUAUAACAUAUGUCAAUGUAUGUGACACAUAGUUCUCUUUUAAAUAAAACUACCAAUAAGAGGCAAAUACUUAUAUUAGUAAAUGAUGCUUUGCGGCAAUAGCUUUUCAGAAUCAUUUCAAUUCAUUCAUUUAACAAGAAUUUCUUCAGCAACUCUUCUAAGAGCUUGGUUUACAUAAACAAAGAUCUCUGCCUGGUGGAGCUUAAAUUCAUGUAAUUCUGGUUAACUCGGUGCUCCAUUUUCUUUCGUUGUUUUCCCUCUUCACACGCUGAAGAAAAUCAGUUUCAUAUUUAAGCUCAUCUGUUCUCCACGUGGCAUCAGUCCCAAUCUAGUAAGCAGGGACUGGGACCGUCCAGCUUCGCAGGGUUUGCAACGUUGGACCAAAGAGAAGAGUCCUCCGGAGGUCCUAGAAGGGCAAGCCGCGCAUUACCAUAGAGACCACGGACUGGAAAGGCGCUAUCUGCACUUCCGGGCUCAGCCCCUGGACUCUGAGGUAAGGAUGGGUGUUUUUCUGGCCUCUUCUGAGGAGGUCCUUGGGCUUCUUCGGCCCCACCGCGGCGAAGACAGGACCGGCAAGACUCGGGAAGAUGCAGAGGUCGCGGGGCAGGCCAGUAACCUAAAAUGCAGAGUGGAGCUUCUAAACUUAACUGGUCUCUAAAGCCAUAUUGCCAGUGGACAAAAAAUGCAGAGCGGCUCCUGCCUCUUGGCUCAAAAUGUCAGUUACUGGGAGAAGGCAGUUAUUUUGAUGGGGUUCACAGGGCUUUUGCUCCCUUGAGGAGGCCUAUCCUGAGCAGCAGGCCCUGGAUGUCCUACCCGGAGAGAGACGGUACUGGAGAGGUGGGGAGCUAGCAGUCAUCUUUCUACUUAUGAGGUGAAUUUUGCUGGAAAAGGAGCAUAUCUUUAAAAUGAUGGUACCAAGAGCUGAUUUUUGGUUGUUACACAUAUGAAGUGAAGUGAAGUUGCUCAGUCGUGUCCGACUCUUUGUGAUCCCGUGGACUGUAGACUACCAGGCUCCUCCGACCAUGGGAUUCUCCAGGCAAGAAUACUGGGGUGGGUUGCCAUUUCCUUCUCCACGGAAUCUUCCCAACCCAGGGAUCUAACCCAGGGAUGGUACCCAGGUUUCCCGCAUUGGAGGCAGACGCUUUAACCUCUGAGGCACCAGUGGAACUAUAUGACUAUUACCCCAAAAAAAAAAAAAAAAAAUAGACCCAAGUGAACACUGGGCUGUACUACACCUGAUAUAUCUAUGGGAGGAGAGGCCAACCUUCAGUUUAAUAACACCAGCUUUCCCUGUCAGUGCCUUGUACACCUGGAGCAGAUGCUAAACAAUUCAUUUAUUCAUUUAAUUCAUGCAUUCACACAUUCAUUCACACAUUUGUUGUGUGUAUUUGAAGUGCCAGGUAAUGAUUCUGAUACCAAGUAUGGUACCUCAAGUUACUUCAGUCUGGUUAGUGAAACAGACUAGAAAAUCUGUGAUAACAGUCCAGUGUGAUAAACACUGUGAUAGAAGCAGGUAUAGGGUGUUGUGGGAAUAGGAUCAGCGGUAAAAUGGGAAUAAAAUAUUUGGCUUAAAAUUUUUUGGCUUUAUG
rnacentral:lncRNA from 1 species